CGGGGUGUUACGGUUUCGACUGAGAAAUGAAGUAUUGAUUGCAUGCAGAGGAUGUCGGUUGGUCCUCUUAAUCAUUCCGAUAAAACAAUUAACUGCCAACGUUGUUGACGGUGGUUUCCUACGUGAUGCAGCUCUUGCAGAAGCAUCAGAAGGGAAACUUGCUGUAGCUUAAGCUUAACCGCUUUUCGUUACACCGAUAGCCAAGACUGGACCUAGGGUUUUGGGAUCUAUCGUUAUCACUGGGUAUGAGAACAUGUUUCCGACCGUUCCUAGGAACUGUUCUUAAGAUUAAAUGGAACAAACCGGUCUUAGUGUCGUGUUCUGCAUCGAGACAGGUUUUUUUACAGAACACUAAGCAUGUAGUGGUUAAUAUGUAGUUUGCUUAGGACGAGAGUUCAAUUCUCUCCACCUCCAUUC
rnacentral:tmRNA from 1 species